rnacentral:lncRNA from 1 species
GUCUUAAUAAAAUGAGGUCAUGCCUUGGUGAUUGCGGUCGGUUUAGUCAAAGAUGUGAAGCUCAAACAUUCACGACCCAGAGUACCGGAGUAUUUAAUCACAGGUGGAUAAGUGUGUUGCUAUCCAAAUACAUGGCAACUCAGAUUUAUUUCAUACUAUGAGUGCAUCCUGGAACCAUUUUGAAGCAAACUCUAAGCUUCGGACUUGGGUUCCACAGAUUCCUGCUGUUGCUUCCACUGCUCUGGCGUAAUGGCUUUCUUGAUAGAAAGAGCAUGUAUCUCUUUCAUCUCCUCCUCAAGUGCAGCAUUCACCAGCCGGUGCCUCUCCAGCAGCCUCUUCCCUUCGAAUUGCUCAGACACAAUCUC